UCGGCGUGCCUAAUACAUGCAAGUAGAACGCUGAAGAGAGGAGCUUGCUCUUCUUGGAUGAGUUGCGAACGGGUGAGUAACGCGUAGGUAACCUGCCUUGUAGCGGGGGAUAACUAUUGGAAACGAUAGCUAAUACCGCAUAACAAUGGAUGACACAUGUCAUUUAUUUGAAAGGGGCAAUUGCUCCACUACAAGAUGGACCUGCGUUGUAUUAGCUAGUAGGUGAGGUAACGGCUCACCUAGGCGACGAUACAUAGCCGACCUGAGAGGGUGAUCGGCCACACUGGGACUGAGACACGGCCCAGACUCCUACGGGAGGCAGCAGUAGGGAAUCUUCGGCAAUGGGGGCAACCCUGACCGAGCAACGCCGCGUGAGUGAAGAAGGUUUUCGGAUCGUAAAGCUCUGUUGUAAGUCAAGAACGAGUGUGAGAGUGGAAAGUUCACACUGUGACGGUAGCUUACCAGAAAGGGACGGCUAACUACGUGCCAGCAGCCGCGGUAAUACGUAGGUCCCGAGCGUUGUCCGGAUUUAUUGGGCGUAAAGCGAGCGCAGGCGGUUUGAUAAGUCUGAAGUUAAAGGCUGUGGCUCAACCAUAGUUCGCUUUGGAAACUGUCAAACUUGAGUGCAGAAGGGGAGAGUGGAAUUCCAUGUGUAGCGGUGAAAUGCGUAGAUAUAUGGAGGAACACCGGUGGCGAAAGCGGCUCUCUGGUCUGUAACUGACGCUGAGGCUCGAAAGCGUGGGGAGCGAACAGGAUUAGAUACCCUGGUAGUCCACGCCGUAAACGAUGAGUGCUAGGUGUUGGAUCCUUUCCGGGAUUCAGUGCCGCAGCUAACGCAUUAAGCACUCCGCCUGGGGAGUACGACCGCAAGGUUGAAACUCAAAGGAAUUGACGGGGGCCCGCACAAGCGGUGGAGCAUGUGGUUUAAUUCGAAGCAACGCGAAGAACCUUACCAGGUCUUGACAUCCCGAUGCUAUUUCUAGAGAUAGAAAGUUACUUCGGUACAUCGGUGACAGGUGGUGCAUGGUUGUCGUCAGCUCGUGUCGUGAGAUGUUGGGUUAAGUCCCGCAACGAGCGCAACCCCUAUUGUUAGUUGCCAUCAUUCAGUUGGGCACUCUAGCGAGACUGCCGGUAAUAAACCGGAGGAAGGUGGGGAUGACGUCAAAUCAUCAUGCCCCUUAUGACCUGGGCUACACACGUGCUACAAUGGUUGGUACAACGAGUUGCGAGUCGGUGACGGCAAGCUAAUCUCUUAAAGCCAAUCUCAGUUCGGAUUGUAGGCUGCAACUCGCCUACAUGAAGUCGGAAUCGCUAGUAAUCGCGGAUCAGCACGCCGCGGUGAAUACGUUCCCGGGCCUUGUACACACCGCCCGUCACACCACGAGAGUUUGUAACACCCGAAGUCGGUGAGGUAACCUUUUGGAGCCAGCCGCCUAAGGUGGGAUAGAUGA
rnacentral:rRNA from 1 species